CCCCAAAGCCCCCCCAGGUCCCGGCAGCUCACAGCACUCACUUGUCCCCCAUGAAGGCCCCAAAAGCCCCCCAAAAGGCCCCAAAAGGUCCUGGAAGAUCCCCAAAAAGCCCCCCAGAAGGCCCCGAUAGCCCCCCAAAAGGCCCCAAAAGCCCCCCAAAAGGCCCCAGAAGCCCCCAUGAAGGCCCCAAAAGCCCCCAUGAAGGCCCCGAUAGCCCCCCAAAAGGCCCCCAAAAGCCCCCCAGAAGCCCCCCAAAAGGCCCCCAAAAGCCCCCCAAAAGGCCCCAAAAGGCCCCAUGAAGGCCCCAGAAGGCCCCCAAAAGUCCCCCAAAAGGCCCCAAAAGGUCCUGGAAGAUCCCCAGAAGGCCCCAAAGCCCCGCGCAGGUCCUGGCAGCUCACAGCACUCACUUGUCCC
ensembl:lncRNA